UACGGAGGGGGCUAGCGUUGUUCGGAAUUACGUGGGCGUAAAGAGCGUGUAGGCGGCCAGGUAGGUCUGCUGUGAAAACUCGAGGCUCAACCUCGAGACGUCGGCGGAAACCAUCUGGCUAGAGUCCGGAAGAGGAGAGUGGAAUUCCUGGUGUAGCGGUGAAAUGCGCAGAUAUCAGGAAGAACACCCGUGGCGAAGGCGGCUCUCUGGGACGGUACUGACGCUGAGACGCGAAAGCGUGGGGAGCGAACAGG
rnacentral:rRNA from 1 species